rnacentral:tRNA from 2 species
GGGUCGGUGGCGUAGUUGGUUAUCGCAUCUGUCUAACACCAUCUAUAUGGUCACAGAAGGUCCUCAGUUCGAACCUGGGCCGACUCA